GACGAACGCUGGCGGCGUGCCUAAUACAUGCAAGUCGAACGAGAGCGACCGGUGCUUGCACUGGUCAAUCUAGUGGCGAACGGGUGAGUAACACGUGGGUAACCUGCCCAUCAGAGGGAGAUAACAUCCGGAAACGGAUGCUAAAACCGCAUAGGUCUUCGAGCCGCAUGGCUUGAAGAGGAAAAGAGGCGCAAGCUUCUGCUGAUGGAUGGACCCGCGGUGCAUUAGCUAGUUGGUGAGGUAACGGCUCACCAAGGCCGUGAUGCAUAGCCGACCUGAGAGGGUGAUCGGCCACAUUGGGACUGAGACACGGCCCAAACUCCUACGGGAGGCAGCAGUAGGGAAUCUUCCGCAAUGGACGCAAGUCUGACGGAGCAACGCCGCGUGAGUGAAGAAGGUUUUCGGAUCGUAAAACUCUGUUGUUAGAGAAGAACAAGUGCUAGAGUAACUGUUAGCGCCUUGACGGUAUCUAACCAGAAAGCCACGGCUAACUACGUG
rnacentral:rRNA from 1 species